GCCGGGACCAUCCGGUAAGGCUAAAUACUCCCGUGAGACCGAUAGCGAACGAGUACUGUGAAGGAAAGGUGAAAAGAACCCCGAGCAGGGGAGUGAAAUAGUUCCUGAAACCAUACGCCUACAAGCGGUCGGAGCACAGCAAUGUGUGACGGCGUGCCUUUUGCAUAAUGAUCCUACGAGUUACCGUCACUGGCGAGGUUGAGUGUCAUGAGACACGUAGCCGCAGUGAAAGCGAGCCUGAAGAGGGCGCACAGUCAGUGGGGGUAGACGCGAAACCAAGUGAUCUACACUUGGCCAGGAUGAAGUCCCGGUAACACGGGAUGGAGGUCCGCACCAAUAAGCGUUGAAAAGCUUCUGGAUGAGCCGAGUGUAGGAGUGAAAGGCCAAUCAAACUUGGAGAUAGCUCGUACUCCCCGAAAGGCAUUUAGGUGCCGCGUCGGAUGGUCACCGUGAGAGGUAGAGCGACCGAUAGGACAAGAGGGCUUCACCGCCUAUCGAGUCCUGACGAACUCCGAAUGCUCACGGUCUGCAGUCCGGCAGUAAGGGGGCGGGUGCUAAGGUCCGUCCCCGAGAGGAGAAGAAUCCAGACCGCCGUCUAAGGUCCCGGAGUUCUGCCUGAGUUAGUCUAACGAAGUCUGGUCCCUAUGACAGCUAGGAUGUUGGCUUGGAAGCAGCCAUUCAUUCAAAGAGUGCGUAACAGCUCACUAGUCGAGGGUCCGGGCAUGGAUAAUAAUCGGGUAUAAGGCAGACACCGAAGGCGCGGGAUAGCAUUUAAGAAAGUAUCGGUAGGGGAGCAUACUCACAGCGUCGAAUGGUGUACGUAAGUUAUCCUGGAGCGGUGAGUAAAGCAAAUGUAGGAAUAAGUAACGAUAAGGAGGGUUAGAUUCCCUCCCGCUGUAAGACCAAGGUUUCCCGGGCAAUGCCAAUCAGCCCGGGGUCAGUCGGGUCCUAAGUCUAAGCCGAACGGCGAUGGCGAUGGCAGAGACGGUUAAUAUUCCGUCACUGCCGCAUGGGGCGACGUGGAGACGGAGCAGUGAAACCACCGCGGGGCGACGGAAGUCCCCGUUGAAGAGUGUAGGUGUUGAGGAUGGCAGGCAAAUCCACCAUCCGAGCUGAACUUGAUAGUAUGGAGUCUUCUCCGGAAGAAUCCAAUAGUGUGGGUAAUCAUACUCCCGAGAAAAUCCGCUAAGCUUAACCCAUGCGGCACCCGUACCGCAAACGGACACACGUGGUCGGGUAGAACAUACUAAGGCGUUGAGAGAUUCAUGGUUAAGGAACUAGGCAAAUUGACCCUGUAACUUCGGGAUAAAGGGUCCUCGUGAUGAGCGAGGCGCAGAGAAUAGGUCCAGGCAACUGUUUAACAAAAACACAGGGCUGUGCAAACUCGAAAGAUGAGGUAUACAGCCUGACACCUGCCCGGUGCCGGAAGGUUAAGAGGAGAUGUCACUCUUUGGGAGGAAGCAUUGAAUUGAAGCCCCGGUAAACGGCGGCCGUAACUAUAACGGUCCUAAGGUAGCGAAAUUCCUUGUCGGGUAAGUUCCGACCUGCACGAAUGGUGUAAUGAUCCGGACGCUGUCUCAACCAUGAGCUCAGUGAAAUUGUAGUAUCGGUGAAGAUGCCGAUUACCCGCGAUGGGACGAAAAGACCCCGUGAACCUUUACUACAGCUUAGCAUUGACCUUGGUCAUCCGAUGUGUAGGAUAGGCCGGAGGCUUUGAAGCGGGAGCGCCAGCUUUCGUGGAGCCAUCCUUGAAAUACGGCCCUUUGGCUGUCUGAGGUCUAACGCGCGAUGCGCGGACACUGCUUGGUG
rnacentral:rRNA from 1 species